rnacentral:rRNA from 1 species
GUGUCAGCAGCCGCGGUAAUACAGAGGGUGCGAGCGUUGUUCGGAAUUACUGGGCGUAAAGCGCGCGCAGGCGGAUGAUGCAAGUCUGGAGUGAAAUCUCGCCGCUCAACGGCGAGGCUGCUACGGAUACUGUACGUCUGGGGACUGGUAGAGGCUGGUAGAAUUCCCGGUGUAGCGGUGGAAUGCGUAGAGAUCGGGAAGAAUACCCGUGGCGAAGGCGGCCAGCUGGGCCAGAUCCGACGCUGAGGCGCGAAAGCGUGGGGAGCAAACAGGAUUAGAUACCCUCGUAGUCC